GGGCCGUUAGCUCAGUUGGUAGAGCAGCGGACUUUUAAUCCGUCGGUCACUGGUUCGAAUCCAGUACGGCCUACCC
rnacentral:tRNA from 1 species